AUCGCCUCCCCCGCCGUGGGGCCUGGCCUGGGCGCCGUGAGCCUCACUACCGCCGCUGCAGCCGGAGCAAAAGGACAAUGGGGGCUUUGUGCCCCACAGCUGGGGAGGGCCAAUUUCACGAUUAAUUUGAGGCUAAUUCGAUUAUCGCAUGGAAAAGGACAACCUUAUUCUCUCCUUGACUCGCAGUCUUUUCGCCCGCGAUGUUUGCGUUGAUUGCGCGGUGGAGGGUGUUGUUUGGGGAGGUUUGCUCCGUGAUGAUGUCCCUGUUGGCAGCACACCCCACAAGUGGUUUAUCCAGCUCCUGCCUCCAGCCCAGGCACGUGCUCACCUUUAACCCGAGCCAGGUCAUCGGACACUCGGGGUGGGGGGAUAGGAGUCACCCCGGCCGCUGUCUACCUGGACCUAGGAUGACUUGAGUUCUUCCCCCACCCCGCCGUCUUCUGAGGCUGUUUCCUGGGAUUUUCAUUAAGUUCCAGCGCCCCUCUAACAGGCCAGCACUCCAACGCCCCGCCACCAACCCCCACUUUCCCCAAGGCUGUGUAGAAAUUCUGAAACCACUUUUACUGCGGAGAAAAGAUGGUGAAUCACCAUAAGCACGAAUAGAAACACUCUGAAGAAAACAAGGACUAGAGAAACUGACUUUCUCCCAGUUCUGUAAGGUAUUCUGUAAGCACUGGGGGCAUCCAGAGGGAAGAAUGACCUUGGAAGGGGGGAAAAAAAAAUCCCAGGGCAGUCUUCUCUAAAGAGAUGAUUACCUGUAUAAAAAAAAUACUGUCCCUUGUUUGAUGCCUCUAUCUUACAUUCAUAGAACAUAGUCUGAUGGGUUUGUAUUUUUGUAUAUAUUUAUUGAAAUACUUUAAAACGAAGUGAAAUUGUCACAGCAAACUGAAGAUGAUUCAUUCUUUUAGUUGUUCAUCUUUAGUUUGAAUUUAAUAUUAAUGUUUAUUUUUUUCCUUAUCGUUACCAUAUAUUAGCUGUACAUAAUAAUGGGCUUCACUGUGACGUAUUGUACAUGUAUAUAUGAUACUGUUGUAUGUAUUCAUAUGUGUGCAUGCAUGUUCAUAUGUAUGUGGGCACACAUGUGUUUAUGAAGGCCAGAAAAUAAAGUCAGGUGUCUUCCUCAA